rnacentral:rRNA from 1 species
AGCGAACGCUGGCGGCAGGCCUAACACAUGCAAGUCGAACGAAGUCUUCGGACUUAGUGGCGGACGGGUGAGUAACACGUGGGAACGUGCCUUUAGGUUCGGAAUAACUCAGGGAAACUUGUGCUAAUACCGAAUGUGCCCUUCGGGGGAAAGAUUUAUCGGAUAAGGAUUGGCCCGCGUUGGAUUAGCUAGUUGGUGGGGUAAAGGCCUACCAAGGCGACGAUCCAUAGCUGGUCUGAGAGGAUGAUCAGCCACAUUGGGACUGAGACACGGCCCAAACUCCUACGGGAGGCAGCAGUGGGGAAUCUUGCGCAAUGGGCGAAAGCCUGACGCAGCCAUGCCGCGUGAAUGAUGAAGGUCUUAGGAUUGUAAAAUUCUUUCACCGGGGACGAUAAUGACGGUACCCGGAGAAGAAGCCCCGGCUAACUUCGUGCCAGCCGCCGCAGUAAAAC